rnacentral:rRNA from 1 species
AUUGAACGUUGGCGGCAGGCCUAACACAUGCAAGUCGAGCGGCAGCGGGAAAGUAGCUUGCUACUUUUGCCGGCGAGCGGCGGACGGGUGAGUAAUGCCUGGGAAAUUGCCCAGUCGAAGGGGAUAACAGUUGGAAACGACUGCUAAUACCGCAUACGCCCUACGGGGGAAAGCAGGGGACCUUCGGGCCUUGCGCGAUUGGAUAUGCCCAGGUGGGAUUAGCUAGUUGGUGAGGUAAUGGCUCACCAAGGCGACGAUCCCUAGCUGGUCUGAGAGGAUGAUCAGCCACACUGGAACUGAGACACGGUCCAGACUCCUACGGGAGGCAGCAGUGGGGAAUAUUGCACAAUGGGGGAAACCCUGAUGCAGCCAUGCCGCGUGUGUGAAGAAGGCCUUCGGGUUGUAAAGCACUUUCAGCGAGGAGGAAAGGUUGAUGCCUAAUACGUAUCAACUGUGACGUUACUCGCAGAAGAAGCACCGGCUAACUCCGUGCCAGCCGCCGCCGUAAAAC